CGAGUUGGUCGGGCGACCGCGUCGGGACCUCCGGGUCCCGCCGAGGAAAGUCCGGACUUCACAGGGCAGGGUGGUUGUCAACGGCAACCCGGGGAGACCCGCGGGACAGUGCCACAGAGAACAGACCGCCUCCGGGUCCGCCCGGAGGUAAGGGUGAAACGGUGGUGUAAGAGACCACCAGCAUCCCGGGCGACCGGGAUGGCUCGGUAAACCCCACCUGGAGCAAGGUCGAGAGGCCGGACGGUCACCCGUGACCGUGCGGCUGCGCAGGCGUUCGAGGGCUGCCCGCCCGAGCCUGCGGGUGGACCGCUGGAGCCUGCCGGCGACGGCAGGCCGAGAUGGAUGGUCGCCGAACGGAGCACCGCGAGGUGCCCGGGAACAGGAUCCGGCUUACAGACCGACUCGUCCG
rfam:Pseudonocardia sp. EC080619-01, complete genome.